AGGGUUUGAUGGUACCUCAUCAGGAGGAAUACCUUCAUUCUCGUUACUAUGUUCAUCUGAAUCACCAAAUCCCUCAUUAGGUGCAUCAUCUCCUAUAGGAACCUCACUUGGAAGAACACCAGACGAAGGUGCCCAUGCGUUCUCUCCAGUGGCUACAAUGCCACCAAACAUUUGCCACAUUAACUCAUUCAAUCGUGGUUCCAUUCCUUUCUUCUUAAAUC
rnacentral:lncRNA from 1 species